rnacentral:rRNA from 1 species
UACGUAGGGGGCUAGCGUUGUCCGGAAUCAUUGGGCGUAAAGAGCGUGUAGGCGGCCCGGUAAGUCCGCUGUGAAAGUCGGGGGCUCAACCCUCGAAUGCCGGUGGAUACUGUCGGACUAGAGUACGGAAGAGGCGAGUGGAGUUCCUGGUGUAGCGGUGAAAUGCGCAGAUAUCAGGAGGAACACCGGUGGCGAAGGCGGGUCUCUGGGCCGAUACUGACGCUGAGGAGCGAAAGCGUGGGGAGCGAACAGG